rnacentral:rRNA from 1 species
CCGAGGAGUCCUGGCCGUUCGCGAGUCGUAGGGGCCCCUUACUAACCCCGGAGGCGUAGCGAAAGCGAGAGAGCGUGUUGGAGGGCACCGGUCUGGAGAGGUGUUUCGGCGAAGUCGUCCGCGGGUCGGCGUUCGCGCCUUCUUUGCGGCCUCCGAGCCGUUCCCGAUCCUGCCGGCGCGGCGAGUACUCGUACUUUCCGUCGUCCGCCCCGCGUCCGUUGUCAUCGCCGCGGUCUUCGGAUUUUCCCCGCGCCCUCGGGUAAGGGGAGAUGAUGUUUGUGGCCGCGGCGGACGUUCGUGCGGGUUGUGCACGGCGGCGUCACCUUCCUCCUUCCGCCCACCGGUGAGAUCCCGCGGCUUGAACCAGCACACUUUUGUUCGUCGAGUUUAGGCACUGCACGCGGGCGCAUCACCCCCGGGUCGGUUUCCGAGUACGACUCGGCCGACUCAGGCGUAGCGAGCGACCAGGGACCCGAAAGAUGGCGAUCCACGCCCGGUCGGGAUGAAGCCAGAGGAAACUCUGGUGGAAGUCCGAAGCGCCUCUGACGUGCAAAUCGAUCGUCGGAACCGGGUGUAGGGGCGAAAGACCAAUCGAGCCGUCUA